UCUAUAAUGGCAGAAUAAAUGCAUUGGUCUUAAACCCCAAACAUAAAGUUUUUAAACUUUUUUUAGAA
rnacentral:tRNA from 1 species